AGUGAACGCUGGCGGUAGGCCUAACACAUGCAAGUCGAACGGCAGCACAGGAGAGCUUGCUCUCUGGGUGGCGAGUGGCGGACGGGUGAGGAAUACAUCGGAAUCUACUUUUUCGUGAGGGAUAACGUAGGGAAACUUACGCUAAUACCGCAUACGACCUACGGGUGAAAGCAGGGGAUCUUAGGACCUUGCGCGACUGGAUGAGCCGAUGUCUGAUUAGCUAGGUGGCGGGGGAAAGGCCCACCAAGGCGACGAUCCGUAGCUGGUCUGAGAGGAUGAUCAGCCACACUGGAACUGAGGCACGGUCCAGACUCCUACGGGAGGCAGCAGUGGGGAAUAUUGGACAAUGGGCGCAAGCCUGAUCCAGCCAUACCGCGUGGGUGAAGAAGGCCUUCGGGUUGUAAAGCCCUUUUGUUGGGAAAGAAAUCCAGCUGGCUAAUACCCGGUUGGGAUGACGGUACCCAAAGAAUAAGCACCGGCUAACUUCGUGCCAGCCGCCGCGGUAA
rnacentral:rRNA from 1 species